rnacentral:lncRNA from 1 species
CAUCUCUUCCAGAGUUGUCCAGCUGGGGCUGUGUGAGUGUUGUCCCACCGUGAACGGACACGUGGAGCCCCGCAGGCGGGAGCCACAGGACUGGGUGCUCUCAGCACCCUCCCCAUCCAGCCCUGGAGUCCCCUGGCAGUGUGAGCAGCUGAUCUAACCAAAGCUGGGGCAGAUCAGAGAGGUGGGAAACAAGGAAACGCCCCUGGAAGAUGUGAACACCUUUGGACUUGCUUCAUACUGGAGGGACUCCUCAACAGAAGGGGCUUCAAACACAUCCCUACUUGGGAUUUAAAUGGCAGGGAAUGCAUUUUCUGUGAAACCAUGGCUGGCUCUGUUUCUUCUUCUAAGGCAAAACAAAAAAGAAAGGAAAAGCAAGCCACUGAAUGUCACGGGCCACACAGGCCCCACGAUCCCAGAAUCUGUCUAAACAUAUAAACCAUUUAUACGGUUGGUAUUAAUAUUCUCCUGACGAAGUCACUAAUUUGGUGAAAUCGGGCUUAUUUUCAUCAAAAGAAAUAUUCACAUAUUUUGGUGGCAACAUUACCUUUGGACUUUCCAGCUACAAUAUUGUUUUUUUUGUUUUUGUUUUUCAGUUCACACCAGCUGCAAUGACUGAGAAAUGAAUAAGAGGAGACAAUAAUGGGGAGUCAGUCAUCUUCCUGGGAUGAGGCAGAUGGGUUGGACCCCAAAACAGGUGUCCCUUUUCUCCAUGGAGCUAAAAGACAGAGCCGUGCUCAGCCCUCUCUGGCUGAAUCUGCAGAGACAGGACAGUGACAACUCUGCCAGCCAGAGCCCAUCAGAAGUCUGGCUGUGAGCAGGUGGCAAUCCUGGGGGCUGCUGGUAGGAGGCAAAGGGCUGCCUGCAGCCUCGGGGGUCUUCAGUGGCCUGCUAACCAACCGAGCCCUCUGGGUGGGAGCCCCAUUUUCUUAACCACUAUUUUAUUCCUAUUGUCACAAACUCUUCAGCCUUCUCUGAGACUGCUGGACACCAAAGCGAGGUUGUCAUGAAUGUGGUGGAGAUCUUUAUUUUCUAGUUCCCAUACACACUAUAUCAUCACAUCAUAGUGACACUAGAGGAGACCAGACUCCCUCUUGGGGGGAGAUUCACAGAUGUAUUCCUGGCCACAGAGUUCUCUCUCCUCUUGAAUCAGGUUAUUAUAUCAUUCCUUACCCAGAGCUGAGUUCUUAUUGGCCAUAACUGUAUUUACCCUACAGAAACAUGUCCUUUUAUGACAGGUAUAAAUAUUAAAUAACAAUGCUCUGGAAUGAAUACUUGGUCACUCAGAGAGCUGGAUGAAUUCCAAAUGAAUCCCAAGUCCUAAUCUUUCCUUAAGUAAAAUGUUCCAUUUUAAAAGAUGGCCAUAAACAUCUUCAGCACUAUUUAGCAAUCCCUUUGGAAGGGGCUGAUCUCUUACUUACUGGAGGAUGUGGUAUGUGAGUUUGCCUGUCUUUGCUUUUGUUUUAUAAUUUCAAAUAGUCAGGAAAUAUUGCAUUCACUGGCAAUCAAUUUAUUUUGAUUGAUAAAAAGGGGUUAAUAAAAACUCCCUUAGAAAUAAAAAGAAGGUGAAUAGUAAUAUAUCUUUCAUGGUGCCUUCUUUCAGCUGUGCAUAAAGAGAACAAGCUUUUUACUUCUCCCCAAUAAGUCUUCUCCUCUUAUUUUCUAUACCUAGUGAGUCAUUUAUAAUCCUUAUUAUUUCCAACCCACACACUAAUGCAGCAUCAGUCAUAUUUCCACAUGCUGUGUUUUUUCCUCCUUACUAUGUUCUGAAAGCUGAAAGGGAAAAACACCCUCUAAUUUAUAUGAAAAUGCAUACCAAAAAUGGAUUACCA